UUCGUCUCUUUCUUCCCACGACGCCUCCCCAUCCUCCAUCAGCCGUCAUUGGGCGCCGUUGUUCUGGACCGGUCGAAUGUCGCUGCCAAGGAGCAGAGGAGGAUGGCGGUGGGGAGAAACAGCAGAGGGGCACCGUCGUUCUGCUCACUCAGGGCGUGGGUCAGAGACGGACGAGGAGGCCGAGCAGUCCGGCAUGCCGUCGCCUGCCAAGACGGAUGGGGCAGGCGAAGAAGAGUGGUGGAUCUGCAUCCUCGCUGCGGAAGGCUGCCGCUGUGCCGACUCCAACCUGUAGCCUGUUCCGGCUCAGGUUCGUCUUCGUUUUCCUUGGAAACAUAAAAUGGUGGAGUGCAUGAUGCUUCACCAGAGUCUGCAUUAUCGUCAAACGCCUUCCAUGAGGUUAUAUGAUGUGUACAUGGCAGUGUUACUGAACAGAAGGAGAACAUGAUGAUGCUCUCUUAAUUUAGUUUCUCCUCCGCUGACCAAAGCAUAUAGGAAACACCAGCAACCCUUCUGUUCUGAGGAAGCGCUCAACCUUGACGUUGAUGCGGAGCAUCCCAAGGUCAUCCCCAUGGACCUAACAUCGUCUCACCAAGUGCCUAGCGGACCGAUGACUAGAGCUAGAGCUAGAGCUCUCGAGACCGAGGUGACCUCUCUCCUUAGUGACAUUACAUAUGAUCCUCUCGAGACAUGGCUACUACCUAAGUCCGAGACAUUGUGCAUGAUUAGGUACCAAGAAGACCCUCCUGAAGAUGCACGUGAAGACGGACAAGCCGCCAAGUCCACGGAUGAAGAGGAACGCUGGAAGGAGAAGAAGACACCUCCAGGACCCGGACAUCCGGCCCCCAAGCCCUGACGUCCGGCCGCUGAAGACUACAGCUACCACAGCCUUCCGGCCGCUGAGCCCCUACAGGCCUCGGACUUCCGGCCCCGUCAUCCCGGACGUCCGGCCCCUCCCGAGCUCCCGGACAUCCGGCCCCCCAUCCCAGAAAUCCGAACCCUCCCGAGCUCCCGGACAACCGGCCCCCCAUCCCGGAAAUCCGGACCCUUCCGAACCCGAGAGCAACAAGACAGCAAUGCCAGCCCGGACAUCCGGCCUUCCUAGCCUGGACAUCCGGCCCGACGCCCGG